UGGGGAAUAUUGCGCAAUGGGCGAAAGCCUGACGCAGCGACGCCGCGUGAGGGAUGAAGGCCUUCGGGUUGUAAACCUCUUUCAGCAGGGAAGAAGCGCAAGUGACGGUACCUGCAGAAGAAGCACCGGCUAACUACGUGCCAGCAGCCGCGGUAAUACGUAGGGUGCAAGCGUUGUCCGGAAUUAUUGGGCGUAAAGAGCUCGUAGGCGGUUUGUCGCGUCUGCUGUGAAAACGCGGGGCUCAACUCCGCGCCUGCAGUGGGUACGGGCAGACUAGAGUGCAGUAGGGGAGACUGGAAUUCCUGGUGUAGCGGUGGAAUGCGCAGAUAUCAGGAGGAACACCGGUGGCGAAGGCGGGUCUCUGGGCUGUAACUGACGCUGAGGAGCGAAAGCGUGGGUAGCGAACAGG
rnacentral:rRNA from 2 species